GCCUGGCUGGCUCAGCUAGUAGAGCAUGUGACUUGUGAUCUCAUGGUUGUGUGUUCAAGCCCCAUGUUGAGCA
rnacentral:tRNA from 1 species